UUCGCCCUUUUCCGGUUGAUCCCGCCGGACCUGACUGCUAUCGGAUUGAUACUAAGCCAUGCGAGUCAUUGUAGCAAUACAAGGCAUACGGCUCAGUAACGCGUAGUCAACCUAACCUAUGGACGGGAAUAACCUCGGGAAACUGAGAAUAAUGUCCGAUAGAACACUAUACCUGGAAUGGUUUGUGUUCCAAAUGAUUUAUCGCCGUAGGAUGGGACUGCGGCCUAUCAGUUUGUUGGUGAGGUAAUGGCCCACCAAGACUAUUACAGGUACGGGCUCUGAGAGGAGUAGCCCGGAGAUGGGUACUGAGACACGGACCCAGGCCCUAUGGGGCGCAGCAGGCGAGAAAACUUUGCAAUGUGCGAAAGCACGACAAG
rnacentral:rRNA from 1 species